rnacentral:rRNA from 1 species
GUAGUCCACGCUGUAAACGGUGGGUACUAGGUGUGGGGUCCAUUCCACGGGUUCCGUGCCGUAGCUAACGCUUUAAGUACCCCGCCUGGGGAGUACGGCCGCAAGGCUAAAACUCAAAGGAAUUGACGGGGCCCCGCACAAGCGGCGGAGCAUGCGGAUUAAUUCGAUGCAACGCGUAGAACCUUACCUGGGUUUGACAUGGAUCGGGAGCGCUCAGAGAUGGGUGUGCCUCUUUUGGGGUCGGUUCACAGGUGGUGCAUGGCUGUCGUCAGCUCGUGUCGUGAGAUGUUGGGUUAAGUCCCGCAACGAGCGCAACCCUUGUUCACUGUUGCCAGCACGUUAUGGUGGGGACUCAUGGGAGACUGCCGGGGUCAACUCGGAGGAAGGUGAGGACGACGUCAAAUCAUCAUGCCCCUUAUGUCUUGGGCUUCACGCAUGCUACAAUGGCCGGUACAAUGGGUUGCGAUACUGUGAGGUGGAGCUAAUCCCAAAAAGCCGGUCUCAGUUCGGAUUGGGGUCUGCAACUCGACCCCAUGAAGUCGGAGUCGCUAGUAAUCGCAGAUCAGCAACGCUGCGGUGAAUACGU